AUGAAGAAGCAUAAAAUGGGGGAAACGGAGCGGUAGCUCAUAAGACGACGGGUCGGGAAGUCACAAUCAUCAAAUGCGGCAGUUUUAGUACUCAAUGUACAGUUCAUACCAACAAGGUGCAUGAAAUUUAUACCGUUGCGAUCUAAGUUCCUCGCCGCCCAAAAACCUGACUGGUCAAAGGAAGACAAGUCCAAGAUUCAGAUAAAUGGGGGAGCUAUAAUGUGGCCUACACUUUACCAUAACUAAGAAACAUGAGGAAACACAAUACUUCAUUGAGGAAUUCAGGUACAUAUACUAGUCCGUCAACACCAGAAUAUGGAGAUAACCAUUUUGGAGGAUUUCAGAAAGGCUGGAGCUCCGAGCGAGUUCCAUUGCCAAACAACAACAGCAGGAGGCAUAUUAGUGCUACUGCAUUGAUGCCAUUCUCUCUUCUACGUAUGAUAUUGAAUGGUCUUUGAGGUUCUUAAGUUGAAGAAUCAAGAAAGGAUUGGAUUGUAAGCUAGCAAAGUUGGAUAUAUAAUGAGAACAAAAAUUUCGAAGGAUGUUUGUUGUUCAUCCAACUAAGUAACUCUCUACCCCAAUGGUAGGGGUAAGCUUAUGGAGGAGCAGAGAAAGCAUCCAGAUCAAUUGGGACAUGAGUGACUAUUUGUUCUCUUUUGUAAAAGUAUAUGAUAUGUUUGAGUAGAGCAACCUUUUACUAUUUUAAUUUAUUUUGAAUGAUAUUUUUGGGGCUUUAGUUAUGUCUUGCUAAUAUAUUGCAUUUCUUAA